AUCACGCACCUCCCAGACAUCAUUACCCACCUCCCAGACAUCACCACCCUGGUUGAUGAUGUCUGGGAGGUGGGUAAUGAUGUCUGGAAGGUGGGUGAU